rnacentral:rRNA from 1 species
ACAUGCAGUCGAACGGUAGCACAGAGAGCUUGCUCUUGGGUGACGAGUGGCGGACGGGUCAUUAAUGUCUGGGAAACUGCCCGAUGGAGGGGGAUAACUACUGGAAACGGUAGCUAAUACCGCAUAACGUCGCAAGACCAAAGUGGGGGACCUUCGGGCCUCACACCAUCGGAUGUGCCCAGAUGGGAUUAGCUAGUAGGUGGGGUAACGGCUCACCUAGGCGACGAUCCCUAGCUGGUCUGAGAGGAUGACCAGCCACACUGGAACUGAGACACGGUCCAGACUCCUACGGGAGGCAGCAGUGGGGAAUAUUGCACAAUGGGCGCAAGCCUGAUGCAGCCAUGCCGCGUGUAUGAAGAAGGCCUUCGGGUUGUAAAGUACUUUCAGCGAGGAGGAAGGCAUUAAGGUUAAUAACCUUAGUGAUUGACGUUACUCGCAGAAGAAGCACCGGCUAACUCCGUGCCAGCAGCCGCGGUAAUACGGAGGGUGCAAGCGUUAAUCGGAAUUACUGGGCGUAAAGCGCACGCAGGCGGUUUGUUAAGUCAGAUGUGAAAAUCCCGGGGCUCACCUGGGAACUGCAUUUUGAACUGGCAAGCUUGAGUCUUGUAGAGGGGGGGUAGAUUCCAGGUGUAGCGGUGAAAUGCGUAGAGAUCUGGAAGAAUACCGGUGCCAAAGCGGGCCCCUGGACAAGACUGACGCUCAAGUGCGAAAGCGUGGGGAGCAAACAAGAUUAGAUACCCUGGGUAGUCACGCCGUAAACGAUGUCAACUUGGAGGUUGUUCCCCUGGAGAGUGGCUUUCCGGAGCUAACGCGUUAAAUCGACC